rnacentral:lncRNA from 1 species
CCUCCUCCUCCUCCUCCAAGGUACCAUCCCCCACCUUCCCCACCUUCCCCUCUGAAGCCACGGCCAAGCUUCGCAUCGGAAGGAAGUUGCUUAAGACACUUCCAUAUCCUAGAGCAGAGUCCCUCCCGAUGAGCCUCUAGACCCGCUCGCUGGAGACGAGCCUCCCCCUUGAAAGCCCAAGUUUGGUUUUGGUAAUUAAUGACACCAAGUUGCUAAUGCCUCGUGUUUAAGUGAUUUGAGUUAGGCAUAGCAACACAUGUGAUGAAGGUGCAUGGUGGCAUGGAAAGGUGGCCACAUGAUUACAAAGAGAUGAAGCAUGAUGUGGAGAUCAUGAUGAUAGACAAGGGAGAAAGUGAACAAGGCAAAGGUAUAAACAUAGGGUUUUGCUUUUGCUGGUCGAAGAUGAGUAGAGAAGUGUUUGACCGGGUUUAGGAUAGAUAGCCGACUAUCAAGAGGGGAAAUCACGGUCAUCUCUCGAAUCAAGUGCUACUAGGUCCAUAUCUUGAGCAUAUGCAUUAGGAUCUAGUAAAGUGCUAACUUAAUUUAUUUGGUGAAAAUGUUUGUGAAAAGCUAACACACAUGCACUUUGGUGGUAGACACUCGUUGGUGUUAGCACUUUUGCAAAGGAGGUGGAGUUCCUAGGGUUGAGAGGGGUGUGGGUUUCGGCGCUUUUGAGAAAAUUAAGUGUAUAUUUUCUAUUGCGCCGGUGGGAAAUUUGGAGAAGUAGCGGAAGUGUUUCUCAGUGGGAAACACUCACCGGACGCUCAGUGCGGAGGCACCGGACGCUGGCCCGAGCGUCCGGUGUGCUGUCAGAGCUUGACUCUGCUAGGGUUGAGCACCGGACGCACUCUGGUAGCGUCCGGUGGUUAGCGUCCGGUGUGAGGGGUUUUUGCAACCCUCUCUGCGCACGAGUCCGGUGAGCACCGGACCGUCCGGUGCCCAGCGUCCGGUGAGGUCGCGAGUUUGACAAACUCUCUGCGCAUGAGUCCGGUGAGCACCGGACGCGUCCGGUGUGGACUUGCAGAGCGUCCGGUGGUCCGCAGGUGACCGUUAGAAUCUGACACACGAGAUUCAAAGAGGACACGUGGCCUAUCCCUGAGCACCGGAUGCUGGGGGUCGAGCGUCCGGUGAUCACUUAGUAGCGUCCGGUGCCCCCGAUUUCAGCCCAGUGAAAGUGGCCAACGGCUAGUUUCUUUGAGGGGCUUAUAAAUAGUUGGUGGCCGGCUUUGGGGGGUUCUCUCUUGCAUUUUUGACUACUUGAGGCAUACUUUGAGCUAGAGAACACUCCCUCCACUCAUCUCCUUGCUUGAUUGCUAAUCCUAGUGAGAUUGAGUGAGAUUCAAGUGCAUUGCUUUGAGAGUUGCAUUUAGUGGCACUUGAUUCUUGAGUUUGCUGCGGAUUUCUUGUUACUCUUGGGUGUUUCCCGACGCCCUAGAUGGCUUGGAGCAGCGGUGGUGUUGAGCUCGUGAUUGGAGAUUGUUUCGAGCCUCACCAAGUGAUUUGUGAGGGGUUCUUGAGCCUUCCCCGCGGGAGAUCGCAAAUUGGUUACUCUAGUGGAUUGCUCGUGGCUUGGAGGAUCCCCAUCUUGUGAGUGGAUGUGCGGCACCCGCUGAGGGUUUGGCUUUGGAUUGCCAAUUAGCUCGUGAUCCAUCAAGUGGGUGUAUCGCCACAACGAGGAGUAGCUUGCCGGGAAGCAAGUGAACCUCGGUAAAAAAUCUUGUGUCAUCUCUUGCCGAGGUAUUUCUUGUAAUUGUGAGUGAUUGGUUGGAUAUAUCUCUACUCUACAACGUUGGUAUAACAAUCACUCUCCACUCCUUUACUUACUUGUUUAUCUUGCUAGUUGUUUAGCUUGUUUAGUUUAGUCUUCUUGUUUAGGAGUGUAGCAAGUUUGUAGUUGUGCUUUCUUGUUGUAACUUGUAUUUAGCUUUCUUGCUAGACUUGUGUAGGUGGCUUGCAUAGCUUAGUUGUGCUAGUGCUAGAAUAGCGUCGCCUUUUGUUUUACUAAUCAACUUGUCUAGUUGAAGUUUGUAGAAAUUUUAAAUAGGCUAUUCACCCCCCCUCUAGCCAUUUGGACCUUUCAAGUGGUAUCGGAGUCGAGGCACCGUUUAUUUGAGGCUUAACAACCUACGGUGAAGAAAUGGCUCUUAGUUUGCAUAUCAACAACACUAAGAAGGCACCUUACUUUGAUGGCACCAAUUAUGCUUAUUGGAAGGUCAAGAUGACCGCCCAUCUCAAGUCAAUCAAUAGAGAAGUUUGGAAGGUGACCGAAACAAAGUUUGAGGUUGCAAAUGAGAAUGCACCUACACCAGUUAAAGAAAAGAAGCUUCAAUGCAAUGACAUUGCAAUUAGUGCUCUUCAUGAAGCUCUUGAUGACAAGACCUUUGAGCAAAUCAAGAACAUUGAGGUUGCUCAUGAUGCAUGGCAAAAAUUAGAAGAAACAUUUGAAGGCACCAAAGGUACGAAGACCGCAAAAGCUUACAUCCUCCAAGAGAAGUUCUCAAGCUUCAAGAUGCAAGAAGACGAAAGUGUGCCGGAGAUGUUUCACCGGUUGCAAGUUAUUGUGAAUGAGCUCAAGGCACUUGGGGAAGAAGUAAAGGAUAGUCAAUUCUCUAUGAAGUUCUUGAGAAGCUUGCCCAAGAGAUUUGACACAUUGAUCACCGUGCUAGUCAAGACAACACUUAGUGAAUCAACUCCCCAACAAGUCUUCCAAGAAGUGAUGACCGAUGAUGCUUAUAGAGAAGAUGAUGAGAAGGAUGAGUUGAUCAAGAAGAAGAAGAAGGAUGGUGAGAAGAAAGAUGAUGAGAAGAAGAAAAGUGUGGCAUUCAAGGCCUCCACAUCCAAGGGCAAAGCCAAGCAAGAAUCAUCAAGUGAAGAAGAAGCAAGCUCUUGUGAUAGUGAUGAAGAUGAGGAGAUGGCUCUUCUUGUCAAGAGAUUUGGCAAGUUUAUGAAGAAGAAGGGCUAUCGGGCAAGAAGGAAGAAGAGCUCCUCCAAGAAGAAUGACCACUCCAUGAGGUGCUUUAGAUGCCAUAGCAAGGAUCAUCUCAUCGCCAAGUGUCCUUAUGAUAGUGAUGAUGAAGAUGCUAUCAAGAAGGAAAGAAAGAAGCAAAAGAAGAAGCAAGAAAAGAAGGAAGGCUCAAACAAGAAGAAGGGUGAUGCCCAUGUUGCAACUUGGGAUAGUGAUGACUCCUCAAGUGAUGAUGAGAGCACCAAGAAGAAGGCGCAUGCUAGCAUUGCAAUUCAAGGAAAAAGCUCCAUCUUCGACACUCCGUCAUGCUUCAUGGCUAAGGCCACUAAGGUAUCAUCCGAUGAUGAGAGUGACCAUGAUAGUGAUAGUGAUAGUGAUGAUGAUGAACCAACUAAAGAUGAACUAAUCACUAUGCUAGAAGAUCGCACUCAUCACUAUAAAGAAACUAGAAAGGAGUGCAAGGCCUUGCUUAAGGAUAAGAAAACCCUUGAGCAAGAACUUGAUGAGCUUAGAGCAUCUUAUGAGAGUCUAAAGGAAGACCAUAAGAAGCUUCAAAAGGCUCACACUAAGCUUGAAGAAGCUCAUUCCUCUCUAGUUAACAAGUGUAAAAAUGAGCCAACUAAAAUUGAAAAAGCUCAAACUUGCAACAUAGGCAUAACGUGUGAUAUCUUGAGUAAGCCUAUUGUUAUUGCUUCUACUAACCCUUCAUGUAGCACAUCUACAUCAUCCUCAUCUAGUAGUGAUGGUUUCACAUGUGACACCACACUAAAAGUUGAGAAUGAAAUUCUCAAAAAGGAGGUGAAGGAACUCAAUCACACCUUAGCCAAGGCUUAUGGUGGUGAGGACCGCUUGCUUAUGUGCUUGGGUAGCCAAAGAGCUUCUCUCUACAAAGAGGGAUUGGGCUAUAACCCUAAGAAAGGCAAAGCCGCCUUUGCUCCUCACAAGACUAAUUUUGUGAAGAACAAUGGCCGGUAUUGCAAAGCUUGCAAGCAAGUUGGUCACUUAGAGCAACAAUGCAUGAACAAGAAACCCAAAGCUCAUGUAUCCUCAAUUAAGCUAAAUUCUUUCUAUGUGCUUACCAAGGAUACAAAAGGUGUUCAUGCUAAGUUCAUUGGUGCACCAUGGAUGGGCUCAAAGAAGAAAGCCAUUUGGGUACCAAAGAGCUUAGUUGCUAACCUUGGAGGACCCAAUCAAGUUUGGGUACCUAAAAAGAAUUGAUCUUGUCUUGUAGGUCAAUUACAAAGCCGGAGGAAGGCAUUGGGUGCUUGAUAGUGGGUGCACUCAACAUAUGACCGGGGAGUCUUGUAUGUUCAAAUCAAUUGAUACUAGUCAAAAUGGUGGCUUUGAUUCAAUUACCUUCGGCAACAACAAGAAAGGCAAGGUCAAGGGGCUUGGUAAAAUUGCUAUCUCAAAUGACAUGAGCAUAUCAAAUGUGUUGCUAGUUGAAAGCCUUGAUUUCAAUCUCUUGUCAAUUGCACAACUUUGUGAUCUUGGUUUCAAGUGCAUCUUUGGUAGUGAUGAUGUUGAGGUGGUUAGUGUUGAUGGAUCAAACUUGAUAUUCAAAGGAUUUAGGCAUGGUAGCUUAUACUUGGUUGAUUUCAAUGAUAGUGACACUCAAUUGACAUCAUGCCUAAUUAGCAAAUCAAGUUUGGGUUGGUUGUGGCAUAGAAGGCUUGGUCAUGUUGGAAUGAAACAAUUGAACAAACUAUUGAGGCAUGACUUAGUUAGAGGCUUGAAGGAUGUCACCUUUGAGAAGGAUAAACCUUGUAGUGCUUGUCAAGCCGGAAAGCAAGUUGGAAAUGCACAUCCUAAGAAAAGUGAAAUGAGCACAUCAAAGGCAUUUGAGCUUUUGCACAUGGAUUUAUUUGGGCCAACAACAUAUACUAGCAUUGGUGGCAACAAGUAUGGAUUUGUGAUAGUAGAUGACUACACUAGAUACACUUGGGUGUUCUUCCUCUAUGACAAGAGUGAUGUUUGUGAUCUAUUCAAGUCUUUUGUCAAGAGGGUGCAAAAUGAGUUUGAAACCACUAUCAAGAAGAUUAGAAGUGACAAUGGUAGUGAAUUCAAGAACACAAGAAUUGAGGAAUUGUGUGAUGAUCUUGGCAUUGGACAUCAAUUCUCUCCAACAUACACUCCUCAAUCCAAUGGCGUAGUUGAAAGGAAAAAUAGAACCUUGAUUGACAUGGCUAGAUCAAUGCUUAGUGAAUACAAUGUUAGCCAUUCAUUUUGGAGUGAAGCUAUCAACACGGCUUGCUAUUGUAGCAACCGUCUCUAUUGCCAUGGAAAGCUUGGGAAGACACCAUAUGAGCUAUUGAAUAGAAGAAAGCCCAACAUUGCAUACUUUAGAGUGUUUGGUUCCAAAUGCUACAUUCUCAAGAAAGGCACUAGAUUGAGCAAGUUUGAUAAGAAAUGUGAUGAAGGGUUCUUACUUGGUUAUUCCACGACAAGCAAGGCAUAUAGAGUUUGGAACUUGGCAAGUGGCACAUUGGAAGAAGUCCAUGAUGUUGAGUUUGAUGAAACCGAGGGAUCUCAAAAUGAAGCUCAAAAUACUGAUGAUGUGAGAGGAGAUCAAUUGGCAAAUGCAAUGAAGAACAUGGAUGUUGGUGACAUAAGGCCAAGGCAAGUUGAUGAUGAUAGUAAUAUUCACAUGAUCAAUCAAGAAGUGCAAAUUGAUACAAAUCAAGCAAGUACUUGUGGCUCUCAUGAUGAUGAUCAAAAUCAAAAUCAAGCUAGUGGAAGCAAUCAACUCCCAAUACUCCAACCUACAAGCAUAGCAAGAGAUCAUCCAUUAGAUCAAGUCAUUGGUGGUAUUCAAAGUGGUGUUCAAACAAGAUCAAGACUAGCAUCCUUUUGUGAGCACUACUCAUUUGUCUCAUUUGAAGAACCAAAGAAAAUAGAAGAUGCAUUGAAGGAUUCCGAUUGGGUAAAUGCCAUGCAUGAAGAAUUGAACAACUUCACAAGAAAUCAAGUGUGGGAGCUUGUUGAGAGGCCAAAGAACUACAAUGUGAUUGGUACCAAGUGGGUCUUUAGAAACAAGCAAGAUCAAGAUGGUGUGGUUGUGAGAAACAAAGCAAGAUUAGUAGCACAAGGCUACACUCAAGUUGAAGGUCUUGACUUUGGAGAAACAUAUGCACCAGUUGCAAGAUUGGAGGCAAUUAGAAUAUUAUUAGCCUAUGCUUGUGCCCACAACAUCAAGCUCUAUCAAAUGGAUGUGAAGAGUGCAUUUCUCAAUGGAUACAUCAAUGAGUUGGUUUAUGUUGAACAACCUCCCGGUUUUGAAGAUGACAAGAAACCCAACCAUGUGUACAAGCUCAAGAAGGCAUUGUAUGGUUUGAAGCAAGCACCUAGAGCAUGGUAUGAGAGAUUGAGAGAUUUCCUUCUCUCUAAAGGGUUCAAGAUGGGAAAGGUUGACACUACCCUCUUCACCAAGAAGCUAGGCAAUGACUUGUUUGUGUUGCAAAUCUAUGUUGAUGAUAUCAUCUUUGGUUCAACCAAUCAAGACUUUUGUGAAGAGUUUGGAAGAAUGAUGGCUAAUGAGUUUGAGAUGUCUAUGAUUGGAGAGCUUAGUUACUUCCUUGGUCUUCAAAUCAAGCAAAUGAAGAAUGGCACUUUUGUAAGUCAAGGAAAGUACAUCAAGGACAUGAUCAAGAAGUUUGGGUUGCAAGAAGCCAAACCAAUGAGCACACCUAUGGGCACAAAUGAUCAAUUAGGUAGUGAUGCAAGUGGCAACAUGGUAGAUCAAAAGCUAUACCGGUCCAUGAUUGGAAGUUUGCUCUAUGUCACUGCAUCAAGGCCGGAUGUAAUGUUUAGUGUGUGCAAAUGUGCAAGAUACCAAGCUUCACCUAGAGAGAGUCACUUGAAGGGAACCAAAAGAAUAUUGAGGUAUCUAAAGGGCACUCAUGAUGUUGGAUUAUGGUAUCCCAAGGGGUCUAACUUUGAGUUGAUUGGAUAUUCGGACUCCGACUAUGGUGGAUGCAAGAUUGAUAGAAUGAGCACAAGUGGCACUUGUCAAUUGCUAGGAAGGUCUCUAGUUUCAUGGUCAUCAAAGAAACAAAAUAGUGUUGCACUAUCAACCGCCGAGGCCGAAUACAUUAGUGCCGGUAGUUGUUGUGCACAAUUGCUUUGGAUGAAAGCUACCUUGAAUGACUUUGGAAUCAAAUUCAAGAAUGUGCCUUUGCUAUGUGACAAUGAGAGUGCAAUCAAGAUGACACAAAAUCCGGUUCAACAUUCAAGAACCAAGCACAUUGACAUAAGGCACCAUUUCAUAAGAGACCAUCAACAAAAGGGUGAUAUUAGCAUUGAAAGCAUUGGCACCGAAGAUCAACUAGCCGACAUCUUCACCAAGCCACUUGAUGAGAAGAGAUUUUGCAAGUUGAGUAAUGAGUUGAACAUACUUGACUUCUCCAACUUGAGAUGAGUGCACCCCCACAUUUCUAUAUGACAUGCCUCUCCUCCAACAAAGCAAGGUAAAGUUGAUUGACAUAGCAUUCAUAUUUUGCUAAGGACAUGAUUAGAACAUAUAGACAUGUUUGCAUGACAAAUAGGCUAAUUCAUGAAAAUCAAAAGAUUUUGAUGUAUGUAUGGUACCACUAUUGCUUCUAUGUUUGAUUGAUCUAGUGGUAGCAUAUGACAUGUUUGUGAUCCUGUAAGCCUAGUGUUGGAUCUAGAAUAUGAGCUUAAGAUGUGUAAUUCAACAUGGUCAAGAUAACCCUUAUACUUUAUGAGGUGUGAAAAGCUUGUCCUUGGAUCAAACUGAAUUACAUACUCUAGGCAAGUGAUCUAGAUUGAACCAUAAUUUGACCCUCACAUUGAUUGACUUAAUUCUCACUAAAAUUUUGAACCUUUGUGGUCAUUGAUGACAAAGGGGGAGAGAAACAAAGAUAAAGUCAAAAAGGGGAAGAGAAACAAAGAUAGGAAGAGAAAACACCUUUAAACUUGAGCACACAAAUAGGGGGAGCAAGCUCAUGAACCAUUUGCUGCAUUUGUAUGUGCACUAACAUAAUGAGUUGUUGCAAGUUUAAAUUCACAACUCUUGUUUGAUUGGUGUUUGCUAGAAAUAGAACUUGAAUGAUGCUUUGAUUUCUAGCAUAGAGUUUUAUUUUCUUGUGGUAUCCAGACAUAUAAUGUGAUCUCACGAGGUAUCUUGAGUUUUUGAUGUAUGUCUAGCUACAUUGGUACUAAGGAUGGUAUAUUGGCAACUCCGAUUGGUAUCACGCUUCAAAGGUCCAUUCUAUAUACCUUAGCAUAAUUUUGGUAGUAAUAAAUCUCCCAAAACUCUAAUUUAUGCAUAUUUGCAAACUUGAACCAAACUCAUGGAAGCACAUAUGUAGGGGGAGCUAAUACUACCAAAACCGAAAUUGAAAUGUUUGUCCAACCUUGUCUCAUGGUUAAAAUGCUUUGGACAAGCAAUUCAAGUUCAUUAUGAUUUCAUUUCAUAUCUUUGUGAUGGUGUAAGGUCCAAAUGGCUAGAGAGGGGGGUGAAUAGCCUAUUUAAAAUUUCUACAAACUUCACUAAGCAAGUGAGUUAGUAAAACAAAAGGCGAAGCUAUUCUAGCACUAGCACAACUAAGCUAUGCAAGCCACCUACACAAGUCUAGCAAGAAAGCUAAGCUAAACAAGCUACACAACUAGCAAGGUAUACACAAAGGUAAAGGAGAGGGGAGUGAUUAUUAUACUGAUGUUGUAGAGUAGAAAUAUAUCCAAUCAAUCACUCACAAUCACAAGAGAAUCCUCGGUAAGAGAUGACACAAGAUUUUUUACCGAGGUUCACUUGCUUCCCGGCAGGCUACUCCUCGUUGUGGCGAUACACCCACUUGAUGGAUCACGAGCUAAUUGGUAAUCCAAAGCCAAACCCUCAGCGGGUGCCGCACAUCCACUCACAAGAUGGGGAUCCUCCAAGCCACGAGCAAUCCACUAGAGUAGCCAAUUGCGAUCUCCCGCGGGGAAGGCUCAAGAACCCCUCACAAAUCACUUGGUGAGGCUCGAAACAAUCUCCAAUCACGAGCUCAACACCACCGCUGCUCCAAGCCGUCUAGGGCGUCGGGAAACACCCAAGAGUAACAAGAAAUCCGCAGCAAACUCAAGAAUCAAGUGCCACUAAAUGCAACUCUCAAAGCAAUGCACUUGAAUCUCACUCAAUCUCACUAGGAUGAGCAAUCAAGCAAGGAGAUGAGUGGAGGGAGUAUUCUCUAGCUCAAUGUAUGUCUCAAGUAAUCAAAUGUGCAAGAACUAACCUCCCAAAGCCGGCCACCUUCUAUUUAUAAGCCCCUCAAAGAAACUAGCCGUUGGCUGUUUUCACUGGGCUGAAAACGGGGGCACCGGACGCUACUAAGUGAGCACCGGACGCUCGACUCCCUGCGUCCGGUGCACUGGAGUUGACCACGUGUCCUCUUUGAAUCUCGCGUGUCAGAUCCUAACGGCUACCUGCAACACACCGGACGCUCUGCAAGUCCACACCGGACAGUCCGGUGCUCACCGGACUCAUGCGCAGAGAGGGUGUCAAACUCGCGACCUCACCGGACGCUGGGCACCGGACGGUCCGGUGCUCACCGGACUCGUGCGCAGAGAGGGUUGCAAAAACUCCUCACACCGGACGCUAACCACCGGACGCUCUCAGAGUGCGUCCGGUGCUCAACCCUAGCAGGGUCAAGCACACCGGACGCUGAGGCCAGCGUCCGGUGCCUCCGCACUCAGCGUUCGGUGAGUGUUUCUCAGUGAGAAAACACUCCCGCGACUUCUCAAAAAUUUCCCACCGGCGCAAUAGAAAAUAUACACUUAUUUUUCUCAAAAGUGCCGAAUCCCAAACCCCUCUCAACCCUAGGAACUCCACCUCCUUUGCAAAUGUGCUAACACCAACAAGUGUCCACCACCAAAGUGCAAGUGUGUUAGCUUUUCACAAACAUUUUCGCCAAAGGAGUUAAGUUAGCACUUUACUAGAUCCUAAUGCAUAUGCUCAAGAUAUGAACCUAGUAGCACUUGAUUCGAGAGAUGACCGUGAUUUCCCCUCUUGAUAGUCGGCUAUCUAUCCUAAACCCGGUCAAUCACUUCUCUACUCAUCUUAGACCGGCAAAAGUAAAACCCUAUUUUUAUACCUUUGCCUUGAUAACUUUGCUCCUCGUCUAUCACCAUGAUCUCCACUUCAUGCUUCAUCCCUUUGUGAUCAUGUGGCCAUCUUUCCAUGCCACCAUGCUCCUUCAUCACAUGUGUUGCUAUGCCUAACUCAAGUCACUUAAACAAAAGGCAUUAGCAACUUGGUGUCAUUAAUUACCAAAACCAAACUUGGGCUUUCAAUCUCCCCCUUUUUGGUAAUUGAUGACAACCAUCACAAAGAUAUGAAAUGAAAUCAUAAUGAACUUGAAUUGCUUGUCCAAAGCAUUUUUAUCAUGAGACAAGGUUGGACAAACAUUUCAAAUUCGGUUUUGGUAGUACUAGCUCCCCCUACAUAUGUGCUUCCAUGAGUUUGGUUCAAGUUUGCACAUAUGCAUGAAAUGGAAUUUUGGGAGAUUUAUUACUUCCAAAAUGAUGCUAAGGUAUAUAGAAUGGACCUUUGAAGCGUGAUACCAAUCGGAGUUGCCAAUAUACCAUCCUUAGCACCAAUGUGGCUAGACAUACACCAAAAACUCAAGAUACCUCGUGAGAUCACAAUAAAUGUCUAGAUACCAUAAGAAAUAAAACUUUAUGCUAGAAUUCAAAGCAUCAUUCAUGUUCUAUUUCUAGCAAACACCAAUCAAACAAGAAUAGUGAAUUUAACCUUGCAAUGCAACACAACACUAUGUUAGUGCACAUUCAAAUGCAACAAGUGGUUCAUGAGCUUCCUCCCCCUAUUUGUGUGCUCAAGUUUUGAUUUAUCCAUUUCAAUUUUCAAAGGUUAUGUCUCCCCCUUUAGCAUCUCCGCCUUUAGCACUUUUCUCCCCCUUAAUGACUUUAUCUUUGUUUCUCUCCCCCUUUGUCAUCAAUGACCACAAAGGUUCAAAUUUUAGUGAGAAUUAAGUCAAUCAAUGUGAGGGUCAAAUUAUGGUUCAAUCUAAAACACUUGCCUAAAACAUGUAAUUCGGUUUGAUCCAAGGACAAGCUUUUUCACACCUCAUAAAGUAUAAGGGUUAUCUUGACCAUGUUGAAUUACACAUCAUAAGCUCAUAUUCUAGAUUCAACACUAGGCUCACAAGCUCACAAAUAUGUCAUAUGCUACCACUAGAUCAAUCAAACAUAGAAGCAAUAGUGGUACCAUACAUACAUCAAAAUCUUUUGAUUUUCAUGAAUGAGCCUAUUGUCAUGCAAACAUGUCUAUAUGUUCUAAUCAUGUCCUUAUCAAGUAUGAAUGCUAUGUCAACCAACUUUACCUUGCAUUAUUGGAGGAGAGGCAUGUCAUGUAUAAAUGUGGGGGUGCACUCAUCUCAAGUUGGAGAAGUCAAGUAUGUUCAAUUCAUUUCUCAGCUUGCAAAAUCUCUUCUCAUCAAGUGGCUUUGUGAAGAUGUUGGCUAGUUGAUCUUCGGUGCCAAUGCUUUCAAUGCUAAUAUCACCCUUUUGUUGAUGGUCUCUUAUGAAAUGGUGCCUUAUGUCAAUGUGCUUGGUUCUUGAAUGAUGAACCGGAUUUUGUGUCAUCUUGAUUGCACUUUCAUUGUCACAUAGCAAAGGCACAUUCUUGAAUUUGAUUCCAAAGUCACUCAACGUAGCUUUAAUCCAAAGCAAUUGUGCACAACAACUACCGGCACUAAUGUAUUCGGCCUCGGCGGUUGAUAGUGCAACACUAUUUUGUUUCUUUGAUGACCAUGAAACUAGAGAUCUUCGUAGCAAUUGACAAGUGCCACUUGUGCUCAUUCUAUCAAUCUUGCAUCCACCAUAGUCGGAGUCCGAAUAUCCAAUCAAUUCAAAGUUAGACCCCUUGGGAUACCAUAAUCCAACAUCAUGAGUGCCUUUAAGAUACCUCAAUAUCCUCUUGGUUGCCUUCAAGUGACUCUCUCUAGGUGAAGCUUGGUAUCUUGCACACUUGCACACACUAAACAUCACAUCCGGCCUUGAUGCGGUGACAUAGAGCAAACUUCCAAUCAUAGACCGAUAUAGCUUUUGGUCUACCAUGUUGCCACUUGCAUCACUACCUAGUUGAUCAUUUGUGCCCAUAGGUGUGCUCAUUGGUUUAGCUUCUUGUAAUCCAAACUUCUUGAUCAUGUCCUUGAUGUACUUGCCUUGACUCACAAAAGUGCCAUUUUUCAUUUGCUUGAUUUGAAGACCAAGGAAGUAACUAAGCUCUCCAAUCAUGGACAUCUCAAACUCAUUUGCCAUCAUUCUUCCAAACUCUUCACAAAAGUCUUGAUUGGUUGAACCAAAGAUGAUAUCAUCAACAUAGAUUUGCAACACAAACAAGUCAUUGCCUAGCUUCUUGGUGAAGAGAGUAGUGUCAACGUUUCCCAUCUUGAACCCUUUAGAGAGAAGGAAAUCUCUCAAUCUCUCAUACCAUGCUCUAGGUGCUUGCUUCAAACCAUACAAUGCCUUCUUGAGCUUGUACACAUGGUUGGGUUUCUUGUCAUCUUCAAAACCGGGAGGUUGUUCAACAGAAACCAACUCAUUGAUGUAUCCAUUGAGAAAUGCACUCUUCACAUCCAUUUGAUAGAGCUUGAUGUUGUGGGCACAAGCAUAGGCUAAUAAUAUUCUAAUUGCCUCCAAUCUUGCAACCGGUGCAUAUGUCUCACCAAAGUCAAGACCUUCUACUUGAGUGUAGCCUUGUGCUACUAAUCUUGCUUUGUUUCUCACAACCACACCAUCUUGAUCUUGCUUGUUUCUAAAGACCCACUUGGUACCAAUCACAUUGUAGUUCUUUGGCCUCUCAACAAGCUCCCACACUUGGUUUCUUGUGAAGUUAUUCAAUUCUUCAUGCAUGGCAUUUACCCAAUCGGAAUCUCUCAAUGCGUCUUCUAUUCUCUUUGGUUCUUCAAAUGAGACAAAUGAAUAGUGCUCACAAAAGGAUGCUAGCCUUGAUCUUGUUUGUACACCACAUUGAAUUCCUCCAAUGACUUGAUCCAAUGGAUGAUCCCCUGCUAUGCUUGUAGGUUGGAGUAUUGGAAGUUGAUUGCUUCCACUUGCUUGAUUUUGAUUUUGAUCAUCACCAUGAGAGCCACUAGUACUUGCUUGAUUUGUGUCAAUUUGCACUUCUUGAUUGAUCAUGUGAAUGUCAUUAUCAUCAUCAACUUGCAUUGGCCGUAUGUCACCAACAUCCAUGCUCUUCAUUGCAUUUGCCAAUUGAUCUCCUCUCACAUCAUCAAGAUUUUGAGCUUCACUUUGAGAUCCCUCGGUUUCAUCAAACUCAACAUCAUGGACUUCUUCCAAUGUGCCACUUGCCAAGUUCCAAACUCUAUAUGCCUUGCUUGUGGUGGAAUAACCAAGUAAGAACCCUUCAUCACAUUUCUUCUCAAACUUGCUCAAUCUAGUGCCUUUCUUGAGAAUGUAGCAUUUGCAACCAAACACUCUAAAAUAUGCAAUGUUGGGCUUUCUUCCAUUCAAUAGCUCAUAUGGUGUCUUCCCAAGCUUCCCAUGGCAAUAGAGACGGUUUCUACAAUAGCAAGCCGUGUUGAUGGCUUCACUCCAAAAAGAAUGGCUAACAUUGUACUCACUAAGCAUGGAUCUAGCCAUAUCAAUCAAGGUUCUAUUCUUCCUUUCAACUACACCAUUGGAUUGAGGAGUGUAUGUUGGAGAGAAUUGAUGUCCAAUGCCAAGAUCAUCACACAAUUCCUCAAUUCUUGUGUUCUUGAAUUCACUACCAUUGUCACUUCUAAUCUUCUUGAUAGUGGUUUCAAACUCAUUUUGCACCCUCUUGACAAAAGACUUGAAUAGAUCACAAACAUCACUCUUGUCAUAGAGGAAGAACACCCAAGUAUAUCUAGUGUAGUCAUCAACUAUCACAAAUCCAUACUUGUUGCCACCAAUGCUAGUGUAUGUUGUUGGCCCAAAUAAAUCCAUGUGCAAUAGCUCAAAUACCUUUGAUGUGCUCAUUUCAUUUUUCUUAGGAUGUGCAUUUCCAACUUGCUUUCCGGCUUGACAAGCACUACAUGGUUUAUCCUUCUCAAAGGUGACAUCUUUCAAGCCUCUAACUAAGUCAUGCCUUAAUAGUUUGUUCAAUUGUUUCAUUCCAACAUGACCAAGCCUUCUAUGCCACAACCAACCCAAACUUGAUUUGCUAAUUAGGCAUGAUGUCAAUUGAGUGUCACUAUCAUUGAAAUCAACCAAGUAUAAGCUACCAUGCCUAAAUCCUUUGAAUAUCAAGUUUGAUCCAUCAAUACUAACAACCUCAACAUCAUCACUUCCAAAGAUGCACUUGAAACCAAGGUCACAAAGUUGUGCAAUUGAUAAGAGAUUGAAGUCAAGGCUUUCAACUAGCAACACAUUUGAUAUGCUCAUGUCAUUUGAGAUAGCAAUUUUACCAAGCCCCUUGACCUUGCCUUUCUUGUUGUUGCCGAAGGUAAUUGAAUCAAAGCCACCUUUUUGACUAGUAUCAAUUGAUUUGAACAUACAAGACUCCCCGGUCAUAUGUUGAGUGCACCCACUAUCAAGCACCCAAUGCCUUCCUCCGGCUUUGUAAUUGACCUACAAGACAAGAUCAAUUCUUUUUAGGUACCCAAACUUGAUUGGGUCCUCCAAGGUUAGCAACUAAGCUCUUUGGUACCCAAAUGGCUUUCUUCUUUGAGCCCAUCCAUGGUGCACCAAUGAACUUAGCAUGAACACCUUUUGUAUCCUUGGUAAGUACAUAGAAAGAAUUAAGCUUAAUUGAGGAUACAUGAGCUUUGGGUUUCUUGUUCAUGCAUUGUUGCUCUAAGUGACCAACUUGCUUGCAAGCUUUGCAAUACCGGCCAUUGUUCUUCACAAAAGUAGUCUUGUGAGGAGCAUAGGCGGCUUUGCCUUUCUUGGGGUUAUAGCCCAAUCCCUCUUUGUAGAGAGAAGCUCUUUGGCUACCCAAGCACAUAAGCAAGCGGUCCUCACCACCAUAAGCCUUGGCUAAGGUGUGAUUGAGCUCUUUCACCUCCUUCUUGAGAAUUUCAUUCUCAACUUUUAGUGUGGUGUCACAAGUGAAACCAUCACUACUAGAUGAGGAUGAUGUAGAUGUGCUACAUGAAGGGUUAGUAGAAGCAAUAACAAUAGGCUUACUCAAGAUAUCACAUGUUAUGCCUAUGUUGCAAGUUUGAGCUUUUUCAAUUUUAGUUGGCUCAUUUUUACACUUGUUAACUAGAGAGGAAUGAGCUUCUUCAAGCUUAGUGUGAGCCUUUUGAAGCUUCUUAUGGUCUUCCUUUAGACUCUCAUAAGAUGCUCUAAGCUCAUCAAGUUCUUGCUCAAGGGUUUUCUUAUCCUUAAGCAAGGCCUUGCACUCCUUUCUAGUUUCUUUAUAGUGAUGAGUGCAAUCUUCUAGCAUAGUGAUUAGUUCAUCUUUAGUUGGUUCAUCAUCAUCACUAUCACUAUCACUAUCAUGGUCACUCUCAUCAUCGGAUGAUACCUUAGUGGCCUUAGCCAUGAAGCAUGACGGAGUGUCGAAGAUGGAGCUUUUUCCUUGAAUUGCAAUGCUAGCAUGCGCCUUCUUCUUGGUGCUCUCAUCAUCACUUGAGGAGUCAUCACUAUCCCAAGUUGCAACAUGGGCAUCACCCUUCUUCUUGUUUGAGCCUUCCUUCUUUUCUUGCUUCUUCUUUUGCUUCUUUAUUUCCUUCUUGAUAGCAUCUUCAUCAUCACUAUCAUAAGAACACUUGGCGAUGAGAUGAUCCUUGCUAUGGCAUCUAAAGCACCUCAUGGAGUGGUCAUUCUUCUUGGAGGAGCUCUUCUUCCUUCUUGCCCGAUAGCCCUUCUUCUUCAUAAACUUGCCAAAUCUCUUGACAAGAAGAGCCAUCUCCUCAUCUUCAUCACUAUCACAAGAGCUUGCUUCUUCUUCACUUGAUGACUCUUGCUUGGCUUUGCCCUUGGAUGUGGAGGCCUAAUGCCACACUUUUCUUCUUCUCAUCAUCUUUCUUCUCACCAUCCUUCUUCUUCUUGAUCAACUCAUCCUUCUCAUCAUCUUCUCUAUAAGCAUCAUCGGGCAUCACUUCUUGGAAGACUUGUUGGGGAGUUGAUUCACUAAGUGUUGUCUUGACUAGCACGGUGAUCAAAGUGUCAAAUAUCUUGGGCAAGCUUCUCAAGAACUUCAUAGAGAAUUGACUAUCCUUUACUUCUUCCCCAAGUGCCUUGAGCUCAUUCACAAUAACUUGCAACCGGUGAAACAUCUCCGGCACACUUUGGUCGUCUUGCAUCUUGAAGCUUGAGAACUUCUCUUGGAGGAUGUAAGCUUUUGCGGUCUUGGAGCAAGUGAACCUCGGUAAAAAAUCUUGUGUCAUCUCUUGCCGAGGUAUUUCUUGUAAUUGUGAGUGAUUGGUUGGAUAUAUCUCUACUCUACAACGUUGGUAUAACAAUCACUCUCCACUCCUUUACUUACUUGUUUAUCUUGCUAGUUGUUUAGCUUGUUUAGUUUACUCUUCUUGUUUAGGAGUGUAGCAAGUUUGUAGUUGUGCUUUCUUGUUGUAACUUGUAUUUAGCUUUCUUGCUAGACUUGUGUAGGUGGCUUGCAUAGCUUAGUUGUGCUAGUGCUAGAAUAGCGUCGCCUUUUGUUUUACUAAUCAACUUGUCUAGUUAAAGUUUGUAGAAAUUUUAAAUAGGCUAUUCACCCCCCCUCUAGCCAUUUGGACCUUUCACCCCUCCGCCCCCGCCCUAGUCCAUGACGGUGAUGGCGGCACUAGUGCUGUACGCGAGGAUCAGCGUGCGUGUGUCAGAAACGGCGACACCCGCCAGCCGAAGGCGAGCGUACUCGUCGGUGCACCUAGUCCCUAGUUUGGAACUGCUGUUGUGUUGUUGACAAUGCGUUUGAAUAGGCACCCCAGUCCCCAGUUUGGAACUGCUGUGAUCUCAGACUGGGAUCUCAGACUGGGAUCAGAUUUCAGUUAAUUUCAAUAGGCUAAGGCAAAGUUUAUGUCAUUUUUUGAUAAGCUCUGGCCUCUGACUUCAGUCAAGCACAUGCAUACGCAGUUCUUGAUCUUGUCACUAUAUAUUGUCUCAGAAAAAUACUGCAUUCAUUUUAUCGAGAUUAGGGGAGUAGGAAUGUAGAAUGCUUCGUUCUUAUGUAGGCCUCCUUUUGUAAUGUGCAGAAAAGACAAAGAAAAAACUUAUGAAUUAUGAAUCAAGUUAUUGUAGCAUCCUUUUGGGAUAUAAGCUAUGCUCUAUGCGUUAUCAGCCUGCUUCGCUUGAGGAGCAAGAGAGGUGCAUGUCUGCCGAUGGCCGUAUCAUCUUCGGGCAGCUCUAGAAGUGGCGGUUGCCUCCUCUUUGCGAUUUGCUCCAUGAAAUGCUUGUGGUGUUUGUUGGUCGUUUGAGGUGAAGGAGUGCGAUUGACAUCAUCCAUCGUAGCCAUGAUCGUUGCGUCUCUCCUAGGGUGGUGGGCCUGACAUUGGCAUUAGCUAGUGCUAGGUUCAUGGGCCAGGGAGAGGAGUGGUCGUAGCCACACCUUGGUGGCUUGGGCAUGCCUCGGCAUCCAUGAUACCUGGCUUUACCCCAUGGUGGUGUCGUGGCUUGUGGCUGCCAUGCACUGUCAACAACGGAAGCAAGUCCGUCGUCCAGUGAGAAGCCUUUGUUGUGGCAACCACCAUAGUAGGUGAGCACCCAGGCUUGGUGCUCUUGUUGGCCGGAUGACGAUGAGCAAAGUGUCGAGCUCCUUCAGCUUUGGGUUGACCCACGUGGGAGGCCCCACACUGGCAUACAACUGCAUCACCAUUAGAUUUAGCCUGGAGCAGUGUGCAGCAGCAGAGGGAGUGGCAUUGGUGUCUCUCGUUGGCUUCUCUCGCCACCAGUGUCAUCGUCGAAUUCUGCUGCACCCCUUAACACCCUACGUGAACCGUCCAAGCUCGGUGGACCAUUGUGGGGUGCGUGCGGGGAGGCCGGUGGUCAGUCGCCACGAGAGUAGUAUCAUGGCAGGUCAGCACCCUUAGCCACUGUCAUUGUAGCAGACCUGGGCCACUUGCAAUUCAUGGCAAGGUGGUGAAAGUUGUGGCAGGAUAGGCAACACUGUGGCGACCAACAAGUCACUACUCGGUGCUUGGACAGAUAGUUGAAACACCUGUCAUGAAAGCUCUAUGGGAUCUUCCGAGCCUGCUGGAGCAAUUUUGAAUGAGGCUCAAAUUCAGUAGCUACGGGUCACGUCUCUUAUCAGUGGAGGAUCUCUCGCCACCCAUCCACAUUGGAGGCGGAGACCUAUCCACGGUGACCGAGGCAUCAGCGGGUAGGGACACGCUCAUCCAUAGGCCGAGCAGGCAAGCUGCACACCAGUUGGGGGCAUGGCCGGCUACGUUUCCUCUAGCUUUGUCUAGGUUCCUGCCGCCCUAUGUCCAUUUCGCCACAACAUAGAAACACAAUUGAAUGAGUUUGGGCGCACUGCAGGGUUGUAGUUACAUGCUUCACCAGAUGACGAGCAAUAUCUAGGUAUGUUGUGGGGUCAUCAUCAUCGAAAUCCUCCCCGUUGUGGUCUGCUCAUGGGCAUUGCUUUGUGCACCCUUAUGAGAAGCAACUUGGGUAGAACGGAGCCGUGUCCGGUGAUAGGGAGGAGGAUUUGGGGGAGGUUAGAGUAUCUGGCUGGGGGACGCCAGUGGAGCAGUGGCGGUUGAGCCAUGUGCUUCCUAGCAUUAGGGGACUAUGGAGACCUAGAUCCGACUCCAUGCUCGGCUAUAGGCUAGCCACGGCGGUGGCAUCAGCCAUUGGUGGUGGAGGGGCAUUGGUGGUAGAGGAUGACAUGAAAACAUUGUCUGGUUGGUGAGGCGAGCGCGGCUCCGUAGCCAGACAAGGAUGCGACGAUGUGGCCUAUCAUUGAUGAGGCAUGAGCGGAGCCGUGGCCAAACAAAGAUGCGAUGGUGCGGGCUUCAGCAGGUGUGGUUGCCAUCAUCGGACAGUUGGCGGCGCAAACUACGACUGGCAAGGCAGACACAGAGCCUCAGCCGGAUGAUGGUUCCACACGCGGGACAGGAGGGGAGGGGCAGACGACGGAGUAGAUGGAGGAGAGCAGGAGGGAGUUGUUUGAGAUGGCGGCGGUGCAGUGGCCGCCAGGGGCUAGGGUUUCAUUGUGGUGUCUAGAGUUUCUGCGGUCUCCAAAGAUAACAACUCCAUGAGUAUGACUAAAACCAAUAGCCAAAUUGCUUAAUUUGGCCAUUAUGUAAAAUAAAAAAACUCUCCAAAAAGAAAUGGUCGACAAAAGACUAGCUAUUUUUUGUCUAUUACGUUGAAAAGUUGCCACGUCAUGUACCUGUCAUCCAAUCCCAACCACCGCUCAGACCUAUUCUUGGCACGUUAUUAAAUAGGAACGGACUCAACUCCCUCGGCGUCGUCCUGGCAGCUUUGGGUGACUGCGUGAGUGAAGGACCGAAAAUGGCGAGGGGGUGAAUGGGAGCCUCAAAUUUCUUUCGAAAUAUUUAGCCGCUGUCCCAAAUUCACCACCAAACACGAGCACGUUCUAAAACUGAAAUACUCAAGCCAACUAGUGACAAGAGUAUCUAGAAAAAUUCUUUAGAACAGUAGGAAGCUAAUGCAACAUACGGAACACGAAUCGGAGUACAAACAACCAAACUACUAGCGAAACAGAAAAUCAAAGUCUGAAAAAUUAUCCAGAAAAUACCCUGAAAAAUUAGGCAAGAAAGACACAGAGUAACACAAAACUGACUACAGAAAACAAUCACAGAACAAGGAUGACCAUGUCGGCGGGGAGUAAUUCCUGCUACAAGCAAAGCACGCAAAAAGCUGAUGAGCUUCAAAGCACUUUGGCCAAACGGAGAGCAAAGACAAGCUUUGAGAGAGAAUUUUUUUAAAAAAACUAAACACUACUGUCUGAUUGAGACAUCUCCAAAAACCAAGAAAACAGAAUAGGAGAGAAGCUACUCCUGCUUGACCUCUACGAUGAAACUAACAGGAAGCAAAACAAAAACUGCUCAGGCCAGACUUGGACACGGCACCGAGGGAAGUUCUGAACAUAGGUAGUAAACAAACACGAACAGGAAGGAGGCGAACUGCUAAUUGAAAAUCUGUACUCACUGGUGGAGACCGGUGUCAAGACUGGUGACUUAGAUUUAAGCCUGGUGCUCCACGAACUGCACCCAGAAAGCAGCCGCCUGAAUCAAAUCCCAACUACAGGGCACAAAGCACUAGGCAUUUAUAGUGCUGUUCCUGUAUCCCAUCCUUGAACACGAACAAACAAAACUGCUCCAAAGCAAGAACAGAGAAUGGAAGAACGAGCAGAGGGGUUGCUCCCUGCUGGACAGAGCUCGUGACCCAAAGGAUGCUGCUGGUCUGCACGCAGCACACACUCAAGCACUAGCCAACAGCACACACUUAAGCACCUGCCAUCAAACCCCCUACAGAAACGUCACACGAACACAAGAACAGGACUGCUACUCACGAACAGAAAAAGAAGCAACCACAAAAUCGAAUAGAACUCAGUCAAAACAAAAAGAAUCACUCCCAAACUUUGCACAGAUAAAAUUCGACCUAGCACGAACUCAUCCCCAAGAAAUCAUUGUUUGGGAUUAACCCAAACUCCGGGAAAAUCAGAUCGUAGCCAAAAACGAAAAAGGAGAAAAACAAAAAACUUAGUGGACGAAAAUCACAAGCACAAGUGAUUGAAUCCCGGAGGACAACUGGAGGAUUUGGGCCUCCAUUCUCAACUCGAAAACCAGUACAAAACACUCCUAAAAAUUUCAGUUCAUAGCCUACUCUACUAAACAAAACCAAAACCAGGAAGAGAGAGGAGGAAAGAGAUGGAGAUGGAAAAGAGAGGUGGGAGAGAGAUGGGAGAAUUGGGGACUCUCCCGAUUUAUUUAUCAGGCAUAUUACAUAUUUCCUAAAUGCCUCUAGAUAUUUUUUGAGCGAACUAGCUAGCCCUAGGGGCAUUCUAGUCCAACUCGACAUGACCUAAAUCCGACGGCCACCGCGCCUUUUCACCGGUAGCCUCGCUCCGAAGCGAUCUCACCGAUGCCGCCACGUGCCAUCCGUCCGCAUCGGGACCUCCGCCCGGGUUUUGACGCCCAACCCCGCGAAACCCGCCGCGAGUAGCGUACUCCAUACGCUUCCCCGCCACUCGACACGUGUCACCGCCGUCCUCGACCGGCCAGCCCGCUAAGUCCUCCUGAGCCUCGCUCGACUCGCGUCCGCCGUCUUGACUUGGUCAACACGGUCACUUCCAUGUACACUUGCACUUGUCGAUGUCCCAGAUGUCAGCCACUACGGUUGGUCACCCGGCCUCCUGGUCCGUCAGUCCAAGCCUCACGUUCGUCCUUCACCGCUCCAGGUCCAUCAGCACGGCACGUCUCUACUUGACCUUCACCUCGCCGUCGACCACCGCCUCCGAGCUCCACAGCUGAACACCACAAGCCAAGAGACAUGUCGCACACAUAGCUUUCGCCAUGUUAAUGUUAGUUACCAACUCAACCUAUUUAUGGAUCACGUUGACAAUCACUCAUCACAAAACGUACCACAAGAGUACUUCUCGACCUUGUGUUCGCAGUGAGUAGGGACUCCCGCGGCGUCCUGGCCCCGACAACCGAAAAAUUGUGUAUGUACUGUGUAGGCAAUCGGCGUUCGAACAGAGGGAAUGGUUCAUCGCUUCAUCUGCAUAUUUCAGACAACCUGGCAACCUGCAGUGGGGAUCCAUUGUCUACGUGGAAUGUGACAGUAUACUGUGUCAAAAGAAAAGCCCCACCAUCAGGCCACACUGUUCACUGGAGUUCCCAGGCAACCAAACAAUGAUGAAGAUGAGAAAAUUACAUUAAGAGCCGCAGGAGUAAUCAUUAAUUAAUCCCAGAACAUAUAGAAGUACAAAAGCAAAGUACAUUAACCGUUCCAAAUUACAAACAGUAUAGUUCCAAAUUGCAAAGAGUACAAGUUUAUUUGUUCUCAGCACACCAGUUCAUAACUUCAUACACACAAAGCUUGGUUUUGUGGCAACCCGAAAUCACCAAUUAUUACAACACUUACAAAUUAAACCCAAACAGAUUGAGCAAACCAGCACAAUGACAACAUGUCCCUCAGCGAACAUUACCAGACGAAAAAUAAUACUCGGUCAUAAAAAACAGGUUAGAAAAACACUGUGAUGGAUAAAUGGAGAGGCCAACUGAGUUGUGUGCUUGACGCAGAGCUUUGUAUCUGAAACCAAACUGAUCACCUGAGGUAGCUUUCAAUGAUAUGUUUCUUGCGUGAUACAAACUCUGGUGGCGCCACAUGCAAGUAGUAGUAACUCUGCUCUGGUAGCUUCAACUGCAACCUGUUCCACCACUCACGCUCUCCGUUGACUCUCACCUUGUACUUUGGAUAUUUCUUCUUCAGGAAUGGGAGAUGGCGAAAGGAUUGGCAACCCCGGACAAAGAGCUUCUCCCACUUUGGCGUUUCAAACUGAAAUUUAACAAGAUCAUGGAUGUGCAGCAGUUGUGGAAGCUCCUGGAGGUAGAUGCUUUUGAUGUUUGGGAGUGGAGAAAGUUGUACCGCAUAAUAAGGUCCACAGUAGAAAAUUGUCUUCAGGUUGGAGCAGAAGAGAAUGACCAGAGUCUCCAACGCAGGUAACGACAUUGAAUAUGGGAAAAGUUUCUCCAAUCGGGGACAGUGCUCAAGGUGAAUGUGUUUUAGUAGCUUCAAAGUGACAGAGUCAUAGCGAGUUCUCCAAUCCCGCACAGGCUCAACAAUGCAUAGUAGGUUCUUAAGGCAGGAGGCCUGCAGUAUCCUUAGGGAUUCUAAUACCUCUGUGACCGGUGGUCUCAUUCUGAAUACAACAGUCAUUUGAUUGCAGUCAAGGAGCAGGCAUUCUUCUAGUGUCAUGAGACUAUUACUGAGGUCAGUAAGGCAACUGACGAAAUUAUCAUCUGUAAUGAAUAUUGAGUUUGUCACAGAAAGAAUAUGCCUUAAGCCAUUCGGGUACUGAUUCACUGCAGAUAUCUCAACAUGACGUUGUUUUGGCUGAAGCUUCAUCAUAGACACAACACUAGCAGGCUUAGAAUACUGGACAUCAUGAUAAGUUGAAUUCUUCUGGAUCAUGGUAGAUAACUCAGCUUCAUUGUUCUGUGGCUUCUUUCCUGUCACAUUGCAUGGUUUAACUUGGACAUUGAAUGACUGUAGAAACUGUCCUUCCUUGACUAACCUUUUAGAAGCAUCUUCAUUGAAGCUAUGGAACCUCUUUCUGCUGAUUUUCAUCUCCACAAGUUUUCUUCUGGUAAAACAUCUGCUGAAUUUGACUAUCAUCGUUUGCACAGUGAUCCAAAUAGAAAACUUUAGGAAACCGGACCAACUGAUGCCAUGGGAAUCUCCUGAAACAUGGGACGCCAACAAGAAGUAACAUUUUGAGUUGUGGUAGGUUUGGGAGGUUGUGAGGGAGCUCCUCAAUGGCUGUUCCAGAAAGAUCAACAUCCUCCAAUGCUCUAACAUCAUCACCAAAGUUCACAGAUUUGAGCUUGCUACACCCAGACAAGGACAGGCACCUAACCCAUGGUCUGGAGAGUGAGAAGGUUCUCAGAUUAGGAUGCCCAAGGAUCUUGAUAUCUUCCAAUGCUUCCCAUGUUUGUAUAUAAAGGUUUUCAAGGAAUGGUAAUAGUUCCCAAAGAAUCUGAAGUGUUAGCCUAAUGCAGUUAGAGAUAUGUAGCUCUUUGAGGCAUUUGGCUUUGGACAGUGAUGAUGGGAGUGACCUUAGGCUAAUGGAGUUACUAAGAUGUAGCACUUCAAGGCUGUUGGCUUCAGACAGGGACAUCGGUAGUGAUAUCAAUACCAUGUUAUUGAUUAGCUUCAGUGUAUGCAGGCUUUGCAUGUUUUGGAACAUGUGAUCUGGAAAAGCUGUAAUCUGAGUCCCCUCGACAUGAAGAACUAAUAGAUUUGACAGUUGAGCCAUGGAAAGAGGUAACUCUCUGAGAUUGGUGCAAUUACCGAAAAUGAGCUCCUCGAGGCUUGACAUUUCGCAGAAGAAUUCAGAAGGCAGGGUGGAAAACUUUGAGCCUGAUAGGUCAAGGUAGUGCAGAUUUCUCUUGUUGCUGCCAUCUUGUUGUAUUAGCUCAAUCAAGGGAACUCCAUUCAUAUCUAAGACUGCAAGGUUCUCGAGAUGAGCAAGUGGUGAUGAUUGUUUUUCAGAAUUAGGUGGUAUUGGAGACAAGAUCUUUAGCUGAGAACAGCCUCUGAGCGAGAGCAAGUAGAGAUUGAGUACAUUGGAAAAUGAAAGAGGAAGUGAAUUUAUAGGGGUGUAGGACAAAUCAAGGACAUGGAGGUGUGGGGUGAGAAGUUUAUCAAGACGAAAUGCUGACAUAUCUGAACAGCCUCUCAGAAUCAGGGUUGUCAUCUUUAUAUCUCCUCUUGUUUCCCUCGGCCAACAAUUCCAGCUUACAUGCCUACCAUCAUCAUUCAAAAAUGAGACCCAUCUUGGUUGCUCUUCUUCACAUGAGUAUUGAGUUCAUCUUGUCUGAGACGUGGGACAGUGCCAGCUAACUUUGACACACCAGUGUUGACAUCUAUUGGGGAUGAAUUGCUUACUGUUGAGGUGGAAACUGAGUAUAUUGGAAGUAAUGAAU